rnacentral:rRNA from 1 species
AAUGAACGCUGGCGGCGCGCCUAAUACAUGCAAGUCGAGCGAGAAGACGUAGCAAUACGUUUGUAAAGCGGCGAACGGGUGAGGAAUACAUGGGUAACCUACCCUAGAGUGGGGAAUAACUAGCCGAAGGGUUAGCUAAUACCGCGUACGCUCCUUGGACUUCGGUUCAGGGAGGAAAGCGAUACCGUGGGUAUCGCGCUCUUGGUUGGGCUCAUGUCCUAUCAGCUUGUUGGUGAGGUAACGGCUCACCAAGGCUUCGACGGGUAGCUGGUCUGAGAGGACGAUCAGCCACACUGGCACUGCGACACGGGCCAGACUCCUACGGGAGGCAGCAGUAAGGAAUAUUGCGCAAUGGGCGAAAGCCUGACGCAGCGACGCCGCGUGGGGGAUGAAGGUCUUCGGAUUGUAAACCCCUUUCGGGAGGGAAGACGGAACGAGCAAUCGUUCGGACGGUACCUCCAGAAGCAGCCACGGCUAACUUCGUGCCAGCAGCCGCGGUAAUACGAAGGUGGCAAGCGUUAUUCGGAUUUACUGGGCGUACAGGGAGCGUAGGCGGUUCGGUAAGCCCUCUGUGAAAUCUCCAGGCUUAACCUGGAACAGUCGGAGGGGACUGCUGGGCUAGAGGACGGGAGAGGAGCGCGGAAUUCCCGGUGUAGCGGUGAAAUGCGUAGAGAUCGGGAGGAAGGCCGGUGGCGAAGGCGGCGCUCUGGAACGUUUCUGACGCUGAGGCUCGAAAGCGUGGGGAGCAAACAGGAUUAGAUACCCUGGUAGUCCACGCCUUAAACUAUGAAUACUAAGUGUCGGCGGGUUACCGCCGGUGCCGCAGCUAACGCAUUAAGUAUCCG